UCCUGAGCCAAUGCCUCUGAUUCCUGAAGAACAAAUCUGCUGCUCCCUGUUACUGUUCACUGCAGAGCCACCAGCCUCCACAUUUGGUUACAUAAGGACACAGAAGCUGGAGCUUAUCCUUCUGACCUGUUCGUCUGUCCUGAGGCUCAUCACUUUCUAUCGAAUCUGAGGGCGACGUCCACUGCAGUCAAUCAUGGGCUGUUUGGAAGCAGUACCUUAGGUCCUUGUGUCUUGACUGGCCUCACAAAGGCAGGAAGCUCCACGG